GUGGAUGUAGCUCAGUGGUAGAGUGUUUGCCUAGCUAGCAUCCCUGAGGUCCUGAGUUCAAUCCUCAGUAUUACA
rnacentral:tRNA from 1 species